rnacentral:rRNA from 1 species
GGCUUCCAUGCAGUCGAGGGGCAUCAGGAAGAAAGCUUGCUUUCUUUGCUGGCGACCGGCGCACGGGCUGAGUAACACGAUAUCCAACCUGCCCUUUACUCGGGGAUAGCCUUUCGAAAGAAAGAUUAAUACCCGAUAGCAUAAUGAUUCCGCAUGGUUUCAUUAUUAAAGGAUUCCGGUAAAGGAUGGGGAUGCGUUCCAUUAGGUUGUUGGUGAGGUAACGGCUCACCAAGCCUUCGAUGGAUAGGGGUUCUGAGAGGAAGGUCCCCCACAUUGGAACUGAGACACGGUCCAAACUCAUACGGGAGGCAGCAGUGAGGAAUAUUGGUCAAUGGGCGCUAGCCUGAACCAGCCAAGUAGCGUGAAGGAUGAAAGCUCUAUGGGUCGUAAACUUCUUUUAUAUAAGAAUAAAGUGCAGUAUGUAUACUGUUUUGUAUGUAUUAUAUGAAUAAGGAUCGGCUAACUCCGUGCCAGCAGCCGCGGUAAUACGGAGGAUCCGAGCGUUAUCCGGAUUUAUUGGGUUUAAAGGGAGCGUAGGUGGACUGGUAAGUCAGUUGUGAAAGUUUGCGGCUCAACCGUAAAAUUGCAGUUGAUACUGUCAGUCUUGAGUACAGUAGAGGUGGGCGGAAUUCGUGGUGUAGCGGUGAAAUGCUUAGAUAUCACGAAGAACUCCGAUUGCGAAGGCAGCUCACUGGACUGCAACUGACACUGAUGCUCGAAAGUGUGGGUAUCAAACAGGAUUAGAUACCCUGGUAGUCCACACAGUAAACGAUGAAUACUCGCUGUUUGCGAUAUACAGUAAGCGGCCAAGCGAAAGCAUUAAGUAUUCCACCUGGGGAGUACGCCGGCAACGGUGAAACUCAAAGGAAUUGACGGGGGCCCGCACAAGCGGAGGAACAUGUGGUUUAAUUCGAUGAUACCCGAGGAACCUUACCCGGGCUUAAAUUGCAGUGGAAUGAUGUGGAAACAUGUCAGUGAGCAAUCACCGCUGUGAAGGUGCUGCAUGGUUGUCGUCAGCUCGUGCCCGUGAGGUGUCGGCUUAAGUGCCAUAACGAGCGCAACCCUUAUCUUCAGUUACUAACAGGUNAUGCUGAGGACUCUGGAGAGACUGCCGUCGUAAGAUGUGAGGAAGGUGGGGAUGACGUCAAAUCAGCACGGCCCUUACGUCCGGGGCUACACACGUGUUACAAUGGGGGGUACAGAAGGCAGCUAGCGGGUGACCGUAUGCUAAUCCCAAAAUCCUCUCUCAGUUCGGAUCGAAGUCUGCAACCCGACUUCGUGAAGCUGGAUUCGCUAGUAAUCGCGCAUCAGCCACGGCGCGGUGAAUACGUUCCCGGGCCUUGUACACACCGCCCGUCAAGCCAUGGGAGCCGGGGGUACCUGAAGUA